GGAUGUGAGGGCGAUCUGGCUGUGACAUCUGUCACCCCAUUGAUCGCCAGGGUUGAUUCAGCUGAUCUGGCUGGCUAGGCGGGUGUCCCCUUCCUCCCUCACCGCUCCAUGUGCGUCCCUCCCGAAGCUGCGCGCUCGGUAGAAGAGGACGACCAUCCCAGAUAGAAGGAGUGUACCGUUCUUCGGUCAAGGGUAUACGAUAGCUGCGCUCCCCUGCUAGAACCUCCAAACAAGCUCAUGGACUGGAUGACCUUUGUGAUCCCUUCCAACUCUACAAGUCUCUUCUUCUUCUUUGGCGAUCACUCAUAGUCGAGUAAGA